GUCUUUUUUUUCAGUCAUCAGAAUUACCCCCUAAAAGACCUUCUCUCACUUCCAGAUCUGAAAAUUGGAAUUCAAAUCUCAAAAACCAAAAAAAUCGAAAAUAGAAGAAAAAAAAUCUAAAUUCUACUAUUCCAUUGAAAUUAGAGACUAAUUUCAGCUUCUAUUUGUUAAUUCACAUUAUGUAGUUACUAUCGCUUCUUGUUGACGUGUAGAUGUUCAUUUCAAGUGCAAUGGAAUAAAAUUAAGUGAUUUUUUUGGCUAUGCUUUGGACCAGUGAAGUUUCAUAAGGGUUUAAGUUCAGAUUUAAAUCAGGUUGGGUGUUUUACUGGUUGUCUAUGCAUUUGUGUUCACUUAUGGGUUGGUUUGUUGUUGUGUUGAAGUGGAUCUGCUAAACUCUGCUUGAUUUAACAUUUCUGGGUUGUUCAUUCUAUUUCCAGGGCUUUUUUAAGUAUUGAACUACUGUUGCUAUUCACCUGCUCCUGCUGACUCCUGUUUCUUCUUACUGUGAUUUAAUCCAGGUACAUAUGCAUAACCUAUACUGAUCUGGAGUGUAUGAAUUUUCUGAGAAAAUCAAUGAGGAAGAAGUUUAGUUUAUUUGUCUGAGUUUCGUUGGAGUUUUGACUAGCUUUUUAUGCUUAGUUUAACUUUCCAUGCUUAAUUGUGAUUAGAACAUUUGUUUAGACUAUUGAAUUUGUAUCCGUUGGACUGAAAUGGAUGAAUUAGGAACUAUUGGUAUUAUCUAGAUUUGACUUUGUGAAUUUGAGUGGUAAUUAAGUUUAUGUGGAGUUGGUAAAAUAAUCUAGGUUUCGUGGAUUUGCUUGGAAAGUGAUUCAAUAAUAGAAUAGCUUUUACGGAGGUGAUUUUUCAUUUCUGAUAUGUAAUUAAAAAGGGAAUCUGAAUAUUUCAAUUCACGCCUAUUAUGAUAACCGAAUAAUUUAGUCAUAUCGAGUGGGUACAGGUUAAAGUCAGAAUGUUUAUUUGUGUACAAAUCAUUAAGUCCAUAUGUGUGCCUUAUAGUCAUUUAACUGAGUAAGCAAAACAAGCCGCCUGGGCUGCUCUUGCGCACACGCUGGGGAUCCAAACUCAGAUCCCUUGCGAAAAUCUCAC
rnacentral:lncRNA from 1 species